rnacentral:pre_miRNA from 1 species
AGGCACCCUUCUGGGGCAAGACUUGCUUCAGUGGGGCUUUGGUGCUCACUGAGUCUGCCCCCGGGUGUGUCCCU